UACGUAGGGGGCAAGCGUUGUCCGGAUUUAUUGGGCGUAAAGAGCGUGUAGGCGGCUUUACAGGUCCGUUGUGAAAACUCGAGGCUCAACCUCGAGACGCCGGUGGAAACCGUAAAGCUAGAGUCCGGAAGAGGAGAGUGGAAUUCCUGGUGUAGCGGUGAAAUGCGCAGAUAUCAGGAGGAACACCGGUGGCGAAGGCGGAUCUCUGGGCCUUACCUGACGCUGAGGCGCGAAAGCUAGGGGAGUAAACAGG
rnacentral:rRNA from 1 species